rnacentral:lncRNA from 1 species
CUUAAAUGUAAAAUGUAAAAAUGUAAAUUUAAAGAUUUGAGAAAUAAAUAUAGCAGCACGAGAAAGCUGGGAUCCUCUUUUUAAAAAGGUGUCCAGUCAAAACGCGAUUGCGCAAUGACAGGGUUUAUAAGAACAACACGUUUCACUAGGCCUUGUGCUCUCUAACCGCGUUUCUUACGUCGGUUGGCCACGGAGAAUGAGAGCUUACAGUUCUUGGUAACUGGCCGCAUCCGGCGUGAGCUGCUGGCCGAGCUGGUGGAGGACGAGCUUGUUGCCGUGGAGAUGGCCUGUCUGGAGGAUGAGUUCCGUGUCCUGUCGGAGGAGAACGCCACGCUGCUCAACGUCCACACUGAGCGCGCUCAGCAACUGGAGACGCUCAGCUCCACCAAUCGGAAUCAGACCAGCCAGGACAGCUCCUCCACGUGACCCCCUGAACUCGACUCGACCCCAAGAGAUGAUGACCUCGCUCGAGACCUUCACAAACUGACGCUACGGGCCCGUAUUCCAAAACUGCUGAUCUAGGAUCAGUUCCCUUCCGUUCAUAAAUUCAUAUUUAUUAUGAUCUAAAAAUGCCAAACGGAUCCUAAAUCAGCACUCUUGCUCUGAGCCUCAACUUGGAUAUGGGCCCUGAAAACAUUACUAUCGGUGGCUGUCAAAUCCUUGCUUCCUCUGUCCUUGUUUCCUUAUCUCCUUUUCUAAGAGCAAUGGAGAAGAGGAUACAAGGUCCCUCGCUUGUUUGGACCUUCUCUUCCAAUGCACUUUGAGAGGAACUCUGAACCAGGGUUUUGGGGCCAGUUCUAUUUCAAUUCCAGCGAUGGGUUCAGAUUUCUAAACUUUUUUAAAAUAUAUUGUUAAUCAUCAGUUAUACCAGAGACAUGAGGAGUGACAUAGUCUGGUUUCUACACCAGAAGUUAAUGGGUAUCCGUAGGAGUAAUGUAUAAGGUUGGGGUCAAGGAUGUUUGAAUAGGAGCCAGGGGACAUUUGGGAGGUGCUGAGUAGAGGAGAGGCGAUCCCAUGAUUAUGGUGGAGAGCUGUGGAUUAGUAAAGAAUGUAGAGGUCAGGUCACGUCACGUUAAGGCAGAAGGAACAGUGUGUUGCCCGCAUUACUUAACUUCCCGUCUAGUGAUAAAGACGUAAUGUUUAGAGAGAAGGAGGAGACUUUGUCUUAUGCAGCUGUAUUGACCCAAUGGGUGAAUAAACUUGGUUUAAGCUUUACUAAUCACCUGUGAGUUUUACUAACAAAACAGUCGUCAAUUCAGGAAGUACACUGAAAUUCUAACUCAAAUUCUUCUUCGUUGCGUUUCAAUGAGCGGAAUUUGGUUUUCUUUCUCAAUUGACUGGAAUUGAAAUGGAAUUAAUCCCAACCCUGCUAAGGAAACAAGGACAGGGGAUGCAAGGACUUAGUAGUAGUAGUAGUAGUAGUAGUAGUAGUAGUAGUAGUAGUAGUAGGCUCUGUGAGUCUCUGGGCUUUGUGGAGACAUACAGGUGGUGUGAUGUGGUCCAAAAUGUUUUCGGGGGGGGGGCUUCCAUGCUCUCUCUUUCUCCCCCUUUCCUGUCCUCCCUCAGUUCCCCAGGUUUAUACUAUACCACCCAGGAUCAACUCUUGAGUUGAUGAUUCUGUAUGAGGUAGAAAUGCAAGACACUGUAAGACAUUAAAUCAUCUGGAUGUUGUGGAGCAAACUGGCUAGAUAUUCUGUAGUGAAGUAAUGUUAACGUUGACAAAGAAAAUGGUAUUUGUUAUUAAAAGAAGGAGUGGGCUAGUGAGAAUGACAAUGUUGGUUUUUAUGGUAAUUCCCUGUAGUAACUGUUAUUAACUGUUGUAAGGAAAACACAAUAUGACAAUGACAGAAUUCUGUAUGUGGCACAAUAAAGUUCUCUAUUAUGAAUUUAAAUUUUUAUAAAAAAAAUACAUUUUAGGUGGAUGUCCUUCAGCAUGAUCCUUUAGUUUCAUUUCCUGUAGAAUGUCUGCUUAUUAUGACCUCACUACAUGGCAACACUCCACUACCACGGAAUAGGGAACUGUCUUGUUUCACAAUGACAUUUAAUCACUCCAGGGUUGUGAAACCAAACAUCAGCUGUUAACAUUAUGUCUGACUCUCGCCCCCCUUCAUUGACUCUCACUUUUGCUCUCUCCCCCUUGUUGUCUCUCUCUCACUCUCUCACUCUCUCACACUUUUG